rnacentral:rRNA from 1 species
GUCGACCGCCUGGGGAGUACGGCCGCAAGGUUAAAACUCAAAUGAAUUGACGGGGGCCCGCACAAGCGGUGGAGCAUGUGGUUUAAUUCGAUGCAACGCGAAGAACCUUACCUACUCUUGACAUCCACAGAACUUAGCAGAGAUGCUUCGGUGCCUUCGGGAACUGUGAGACAGGUGCUGCAUGGCUGUCGUCAGCUCGUGUUGUGAAAUGUUGGGUUAAGUCCCGCAACGAGCGCAACCCUUAUCCUUUGUUGCCAGCACGUCAUGGUGGGAACUCAAAGGAGACUGCCGGUGAUAAACCGGAGGAAGGUGGGGAUGACGUCAAGUCAUCAUGGCCCUUACGAGUAGGGCUACACACGUGCUACAAUGGCAGAUACAAAGUGAAGCGAACUCGCGAGAGCAAGCGGACCACAUAAAGUCUGUCGUAGUCCGGAUUGGAGUCUGCAACUCGACUCCAUGAAGUCGGAAUCGCUAGUAAUCGUAGAUCAGAAUGCUACGGUGAAUACGUUCCCGGGCCUUGUACACACCGCCCGUCACACCAUGGGAGUGGGUUGCAAAAGAAGUAGGUAGCUUAACCUUCGGGAGGGCGCUUACCACUUUGUGAUUCAUGACUGGGGUGAAGUCGUAACAAGGUAACCGUAGGGGAACCUGCGGUUG